UGUAAUCUGGCAGAUUGAAUGCGGCAGAGUUAGGGUCUGUUUAUGAGUUGUGAGUUCGGUUAUAU
rnacentral:tRNA from 1 species